UGUUGUUUGGUUUUUGUUUUCCUUUUUGGCAUAGGUAGGCGAGGCGGGGCUUGAUGGCAUUCCGGCACACCUGCGGCGCAUCGGACGUCAUCAGUGAGCGCUUUUAUGGAGCUGAGUCACGGACGUCUGGUGUCGGAGUAUUGUCGCUGUCACAAGUGCCUGUUCCGCUGCCUGCUCGCCUGCCUAGUUUCUUUGUGUUGGCUACUGUGGAUCCCUGACGGAGAGCUACGUUACACCAGUCUGUGAUCACUGCUACAGCUGUAGUUUUGUGUUUCAAGUAGCUCCGGUGCGUCAUCUGCCCACCCGCAUACCUUGGCUCUGUCUCAUCUCUUCGGCUUUGCUCUCCUUGCACAUUUUUAUUUGUCACUGUAUAUAGCCCCCUCCCUUGUAAAUAUUCCCCAUCAUUGUAGAUAAACUUGCAUCACAACUCUCUUGUGCCCGUGUGUGUUUCUGCCACUAAAUCCAUCCGUGCAGUUUUCCUAACAACACCUGAAAGUCUGAAGUUUUCCAGUAACUGCGUCACAUCAGUGUUCUUCAGCAUCAAGUUGACUUCAAGUUCCAGCAAAGCAAAGCCAGUUGCAAUAUUUAAGCUUGUUUAAAAAAACCACAAAUCCUUAUAACAAAAAAAAAGGGUGUGGAGUCCUGCAUGGACGCGAGGGGAGACACACCCUUGAACUUCAAGGCUUGAAGACAACACAAACAAAGGAGGCAAUAAGGAAGAAAGGAAGAAAAAGACUCAAGGAACUAAACUGCACUAGAGAUGUACCUAACAUAAGUGAAUCUGAAAAACCUUCCUACAGUUUAGUGUCAAUUUAAACAGCCGCUCAAGUUGUUUUCCUUAUUAAAAUUAUGGUUGUCUUUUGGAGAAAUGUACAGUAUGUGAAAGGAAGUUGCAGCCAUUAUUAUUUAAGAAUGUCUUUGACUGUUUUUGUGAGUAACAUCUUUUUACCCUCAUGAGUCAUGGCUUCUUUCUUUCGGCUCAUGCGUAACAUUUUUUGUCACAUGUACUGUAUGCUUUAACUAAUGACUGGGCUUUUCAAUAAAGAGUUGUGAACCAGUAGAGAGUAUUUUAAAUUC